rnacentral:rRNA from 1 species
CGUAGGGUGCGAGCGUUAAUCGGAAUUACUGGGCGUAAAGCGUGCGCAGGCGGUUCGUUGUGUCGGUGGUGAAAGCCCCGGGCUUAACCUGGGAAUGGCCAUGGAAACUGGCGAACUGGAGUGUGGCAGAGGGGGGUGGAAUUCCGCGUGUAGCAGUGAAAUGCGUAGAUAUCGUGAGGAAGACCAGUGGCGAAGGCGGGUCUCUGGACAGUUCCUGACGCUGAGACACGAAGGCCAGGGGAGCAAACGGG